rnacentral:rRNA from 1 species
AAUGGUGGACAAACAUUCUUGUCAAAGUCUGAUCUCAUCAGACUUCAGAGCCUAAGCAGGGCUGGGCCUGGUUGGUACUUGGAGGGGAGACUGCUGGGAGUAACCAGUGAGGCGGCAGUG